AUUAUGGCAGAUCAAAACAUGGAAGAUUCCGAUAUUGUACCUGCACCGAAGCUCAUUGAAGUGUUUUUUCCAAAACUGCAAAGGCCAAGUAGAUCAUUGGGUUGAGCCGUAUCUCAGGCUUACAAUAGAUCGGUUGCGUCGAACGGAGAAGCCAUAUCUGAAAAGUCUCCUUUUACAAGUGGUUUGAGGGCUGGUAUGUUGCACACCCUGUUUGGAUACGCCUCAUGGAUUGCCUCAACCAGUCCAGGUUGUAACAAUUCGAUCGAGAAGAUGGCAGCUAGGGGUGGAGAGGAGUGGGCCUGAAGGUAUGUAACCUUCGAGAGAAGCAGGAUGGCCCAAUCAGAGGCGAGGCAUCAGUGUUGGCAGUACAGAGGAGUAUUAUUAUCUAAUAAAUCAUUAAUGAAUUCAUUCUUUGAUACCAUCAUCUGAAUGCCGGUACCGCUGUGGAUCAUGAAAGGAGCAUUCAUGGGCUGAUGCUAUGACACAAGAUCUCCCGAGGUUACAGAUGCGGUGCAACUCUGCUUGUUCUUCAAAUGGAUGUAAAUUGUGAAUAGGAUGUAUAAAGUGAUAUAAUUGUGAACAAAUGUCAAUCAACAGUAUAUAUAUAUAUAUAUUAUUGCACCAGUUUCUUUU